rnacentral:snoRNA from 21 species
AUCGUGCGGUUUUAAUACCGAACGCCCACUCUCGUGUUGCUCACCUUUUCGUAUAAAUGGUUGGAAGGUUUUUUCGAGCGUCAACUGUGGGCCAGAGGUACAUGAACGUCUUAGCACCCUUACAGUUGGAGUCCCAUCUCCCUUCUUCUGUGGGUCGGUUGUUCAGAUAUCU